UUCGACCUUUAAAUAACCUCAAUUCAAUUAUGUACUUUUAUUAAUAAAAUACAUAAUUACAUUUAAUUUAAAAAAUUUAGUAUCAAAAAUUUUAAAUUACAUUAAACUACUGAUAAGACUAAGUGAGUAAAGUCAUAUAUUAAUGAUAUAUAAUUACUAUAUAAAUUAGUUAUCAAUAAUGGAUUCGCAGAAAAUCAUCAAUUAGCACAAAUGGAAAAUUAUUACCGCAUGAUUCGCUAUAAAUAUUAUAUGGAUCAAAUGUCUCAUACAUUAAUCAGG